GUUGCUGUAGUGGGGGUUGUAGUUGAUGAACACGAACCCCCGUGCCUGAUCGAUGCAGUGAAACAGGGGGUUCCAGUCAAACAUGGCCAGCAUGAAGCUGGGCAAUGUAUUGGCCAGAAACAUUUUGCCCGAUGCGAUCAUGUUGGCGCGCUG
rnacentral:ncRNA from 12 species